UGUAAGGUGUUAGUCGUGCUGUUGUGAACGUUGGACAGCGCCUAAAAGCCCAUACAUAACACAGGGGCAAUUUUGUACUUUCAUCUCUCUUCGUUGACAAGUCAACAAAAGUCAAAAGUAACUAAAAAGCUUCCUCUUUCUUCUCCGACUGAUUCUCUUUCUUCUCCGACUACGCCAUUGUUGAUUCUCUUUGUUCUCCGACUUGACUGUCGUUACUCCGAAAAGCGUGCGGUAACCCUUUCAUCUCCGUUUCUGUUGAAAAACGAUAGUCUUGAGAAAGCCAUCAACGUUGAACUUCUAUGGCUGCUAGAGGUUAGUAAUUCAAUUUUAUAGGAUUCUUCAAGAUAUUUUUAGUAGAGUAGGUUCAAUUGAUUUUGGUUGGUAAUUUUUUGGAAAAUUGAAUUGGAAUUUUUAGGGUUUACAUAGUCAAAUUGAAUUGGAAUUUUCUAGGGGGUUUACAUAGUCAAAUUGGGGAUUUUUACAUAGCACUUGGGUAGAAGACUAGACACGAGUACCCAUUCACACCACCAGUCUUAAGUAUGUUUUUUCUAGGUUUUGAAGUGCAGGGUAAAGGUUGUUGUUAUUGGGACGUCGUAUUCUUCAAUUGCAUUUUUGUUUCUCUAUUCUGUAAUCAUUGAGGCAAUGGGGUAAUGAUAAUAAUAAUGAAUAUUCUGUAAUGUCUUUCCAUGUCUUUUAAUAUAAAUUGAAUGCAACUUAUCGUGUUAAUCGGAAGCAGUUCAGGCCUUCAGGCUUGUUUAUGUUGGACUAGUCUUAUAUGCACGCAUAUAUGCACGCGAUGCGUGCGAGAUUAUACACAAAGUACAAUGAUAGAUGGAUAUAUUGUCACAAACCAGACCAAAUUACAUGAUUCAUGGCUAUUUUCCAUAAAAUAAGAAAUGAACACAAUUUACUCAAAUUCGGUACUAAAAAGUAAAAACAACUAAAACAAUUCAAAAUUUGUAUCAUAUUACUUAAUUUCUUCUCUCGUAGAUGUUUUUUCCCGGAUUGUUGAUUCUACUCGAUGCGUCUCCCCUUUUGAUCGAACUCGAAAAAAUCAGAAAAUUUCAAAAAUUCAGAAAUGAUCAAUGAACUCAUAAAAUCAGAAAAUAAUCCCCAAAAAUUCAGAAAAAUUAAACCUGUGCAAAUUAAAUCAAGUACUCAAAGAAAUAUAAAUAACACCAUUUCCUACCAGUUGGGGAAAUAAAACUCUAUUGGACUAAAAAAAACACAAUAUCGGUUAUACUUUUGCACAAACGAUUCAAAUAACACAAUAGUAUCUCAGUCUUCACUACAUAUGCAAAACUUAACUCAAUCAUACAAAAACACUCAAAUUCCAUAGGUAAGCAGUGGUAACAUCACUCAAUCAUUCAUGAAAGCAUUCAAUAAUGACUUUUUACUUGAACUUAAAUUUGCAACAUAAGACCAACAAACAUAGUUCAAGAAAGCGUGAUAAAGUAUCAUUAAAAGACAAAAGUUACAGAUCAUAAGGGCAGUAGAGAAUAUACCAAUAGUUCCUCGGUUACUGAAGUUUGGAACGGUUGAUCAAGAAGCUCCUAGAAACCCGUCAUUGAUACAAUCCUUCAUUGGUGUUGUCGCAGUCAUGCAGUAUUGAAUGCCAGAGAGGGUCUUCAUAAUAGGAUGUGGUUUCACUUCUUGGACCGCAACUGUGUUUACUGUGUUAUUUCCGCCACCAGCAUUUCCACAACCAACAUUUCCUCCUCCAGAUUUUUUUUUCCCAAUCUCUAUCUUUACCUGUUAUUUUAUACAUAACAACAAUUUUUUUUACCACAAAUAUCAGUUUCAAAGAAAUAAAUACAAAUUCCUUGAGUGAUGCACAAACUUUAGUUAAAAAUAAUUGAAAUGAUUUGUGUUUGGCGGUAUCAGUAUUUAUUUGUGUUCGUAAUGAUUUUGAUUUUAUUCUUAAUGCUAACGUUUUUAGUUUUUUUACUCGUCUAAAUUGUUGAAUCCAUGCCUUCACUUAAGCUGUAAUUUAUUCCCAUCUGGGGUAUGCGGAAACAUGUUCUUUUAAUUUUUAAUUAGUGGAGCAUCAACAAUCAAGCAGGAUAUGCAUCAUGAUUAAAUUCAGAAAACUGAGAUAAUCAAUCAAACUAAUAGAAGGAUACACCUCAUCAUUAAAGUCAUAAAUUGAAUUGAGAUGAUCAAACCAACUAAUAGCAGGAUACACAUCAUGAUUAUAUUUAGAAAAUUGAGAUAAGCAGUCAAACAAAUAGCAGGAUAUGCGUCAUGAUUAAAUUCAGCAAACUGAGAUAAUCAAACAAACUAAUAGCAGGAUACGCAUCUGAUUAAACAACACAAAACAAAAUUGAGAUAUAGAGGUGACUCAGAAAAUGAUUUGUACCCGUAUAAAAGAGCCAUUAGACGGGCCUGUGGGUUAGAACAUCUUCACAGUCCCAAAUUGGUAAAACUCAUCUCAAUCCUCAAAAUUGAAAUUGGGAAAUUGAACAGGAAUUACCUGAGGGAAGCAAUGCGAUCAAUUAGCUCAGAAAGGACGCAUGCUGGAAAUUUCACAAUUUCACACAUCAGAAACACAACUGACCAUAAGUAAAGCAGAAAAUUUUGGUAUAUUACAAACACGAUAAAAAAUUAGACACAGUAAUAAACCGGCUAUUCAGCAGAUUCAGCUUGUUACUUACAUCAGAUGCCUCCAUAAUCCCAAACUUUGUGUCUUAGUGCCUUAAUUUUGGUUGUUUGUUGUUCUUUUUUUGUUGGUUUUUGGUUACCUGUUGUGGUUUGGCCUGUGUUGUUGGCUUUUAGCAGGCUAUUUUUGGGUUCUCUGUUGUCUGUAGUCAGGUGGCAGCAACUUGGUCUAGUGGCUUUUGCUUUUGAGCAGGUUCUGCAGGGUCUUUCUGAUGUAGUUCUGUUGGGUUUCAGUUCGCAGCAGGCAGCAGCUGUGCUUUUCCAGUCAGUUAGUGCAGCCAGUGAGCCAGCUGUCUUACUUUCUCCGCCAUUUCCUUCAUCUCCUCCUCCAACUCCUUGAUUUUCCCUUUAAAACCCUCACAUACAGCAUACCAACACUCACUCAGUUGAGCAUACAACUCACAAACCAAACACAAAAUCUCACAAUCAAGUCACACGACAAAUUCAAACAAUGUUCAAAUCAAAUCACAAAUUUAAAAAACACAUAUAAAUUUUAAUAAAAGUUGAAUUGAAGAAGGUAGGUGUUUGUCUUAUACUUGCAUUAUCUGCUGAGGUUCUAUGAGUUGAGAGAAAGGGCGAUGGAGUUGAGAGGGAGAGAUUGUUCUCUCAAAACACUAAUCAAUAGGAACUCCAUCACCCAUCAAAUCUCCAGUUCAUCGAUAUGACAUAUCUUUAAAUCCAUCAAACCAUAUCUUUAAAUCAAUCGAUACAUUAAGAUUCAUGAAAAUUAAAAAUUUAUAAGCAUCUGAAAUUUGUAAGGACGGCAAGAUAUUGAAAGUUAGAUUGUUGGAAAGUAGGCAUUGGUACGUCGUCAUAUAAAUGGUGGGAACACAAUCCGAUUGUAGAAGAAAUUUUUCCACAAAACAAAAAGUAGUCAUGAAAAUUACCAUCCUUCCAUUUUUCCCCUCCUCGAUUGUCUCUCUCCUCAGUAACGCUCACUUGGAGAAUGGAGAUUGGAGAGUAACGCAUGGGAUUGAAUCAACUUUGUGAAGAUGCGAAGGGUAUUUUAGUAUUUUACAUAGGGGACACGAAAAGUGAUGUUACCAAAACGCCCUCAUCUGUUCCUUUAUAUAAUAGAGAUUGUUACUUGCUCUUUGAUUCUACUAAUACGAACCUGUAACUUAGGAGAAAUUUCAAAACAAUCCCCUUGAUUGACAUAUCAAGUGGCAUUUUCGUAAUUACAAUAAGUAAAUAUACAAUCUAGAAAUUGCAAUGUACAAUAUAUUUGAUAUUUAAAAAGUUAAAAAUAAAAGAAAAUAAUUUUAAAUAUAAAAAGAUAUUGUACACUUAAAUAGGUAGAUUGUAUAUUUUGAUAAUUUAUUUACGAAAAUACCCCUUGAUAUGUUUACUUGCCAAUCAAGGGGAUUGACUGGUUGGAGCUCGUAGGGUUUGAAUUUAAAUUAUUAGGUCACCAAUUUAUAGCUUCAAUUGAUGUAGUCGGGUAAUUUGUGUAAAAGUUCGAAAAGAGCAGCCAUAAAAUUCAAAAAGAGCCAAAGAAGUUCACCAUCACCAUCACCAUCGCUUUAAAGGGGAAACAACUUAGGAUUCUUGCAAAAGGGAAACAUAGAAGCUCUCUUUUUAUUCGCUGUUUCGUCUUGGAGUGUUGUUGGUGGUAAUUUCACGAUCACUAUUGCUGAAGGGAGUUGGAUGACACGUACAGCCAGGUGCCUACGCUGGCCAUUGGUAUGUGGAAAAAGGCCUGACAAUGCAACAUUUAAACGAGGCGUUGUGAAGUACAUUUACAACUGUGUGGGUCAUGUUAGUGAACCUGCAGCAGUCUAUUGCUGCUUACUGUUAAGUAUAACCUUGGUGAAAUAGCCUUCAAAAUGUAAAACAGGAAAACAAGUUACACAGAGAACUGAAAGUUCCAUAAAUUUGAUCAACCAAUGGUAUUACUUGAUUAAAGUCCAUGAUCUUUAGGCGUGAAUCCAACCAAACAAGUCCUGGUAUUUUAGAAGUUAUAUGCUUGGUCAUGGGUGUGUGUCUAUUUGAUUGCACUGAUUGGGGCAAUCUGUGAUUUUUCUUUUUGAAUCAGAGGACAUCUUGUCUCAUUAUUUGCUCUCCUUUUUUCCUACUGUUUUAUAUAUUCUCUUUUCCUGUCAGAAAAAGCUAUUUAAUUACACUGAUAGAGGUAAGACUGCAUUUGUGAACUUUCCCGGAUACCACUUAUUGUUGAAUCAAUAGUCCGUACUGGGAGGUGAUAGUAGUGUACAUCUGAACUGCUUGGCUACAAAUAUAUAUCAAAAAUUAACUGGAGUACAUGGGAUGUGAGGGAUAAUAUUAUCUUACUUGGUGUUGUUUACUUUCAAUGAGAAGCAAGUGCCAUGAGACUGCUUUAGAAGAUGACCGAUAAAUGGUGAGUGGAGAUGUAGUAGCAUGACUUUUGUUGGUUGUUUUUCUUAUGGUGAACUAGUAAAAAGAAACUAGGGAUUAUCCAAACGAGGAAGGGGUAGUGGACGAGGAAGGGGAGAAGCGCAACCAGAUGUAACUGGUCAGGGACGAGGAGGAAUAAGAGGAGCAACUUGUGUUGCUUUCUUAGAUAAUAGGUUUUAAGAACUGUAGUAAUGAUGCAAUGAUCCCUAAGAGUAGAUCUGCUGGGAACAUCAAGAAUGCAUCUGCUCCUGCCAUAGCUAUUGACUACUGGAGGUUGCCAGCAGAUCUACUCUUAGAGGUGUUGUGAUGGUUGUUAGGGCAGAUGAAUAUCGAGAAACCGAGAAUGUAUGGCUCGUUUUUUUUUCUUCUUGAUUAAUUUAAUUUUGCUAAGAGAGAGGUGUAAAAUGAAAAAUAUAUAUUAUGAUGUGGGAAGUAGCAUUUCCUAGGAUGAUUAUACUUAACUCACUUAAGUAGUAUAAUCUGACAAAUGCUGUUACUUAGGUGGUUGUUUUUUCUUUGUUGGAGCAACAAAAGGAUAAAGGUUUGGGGCUAUGAUUCUUUUAAACCUUUUCUUGUGAAAAAGUUAGGAUUUUCAAUGGCAGUAGAGGUCUGAUUUCAGGGGAGGGAGAUAAUGUAGAAAAAGGAAUCCCUGAAGCUGUGAGCAAUGACAGAAGCAAUGUGUAGAGGGAACAUCUAUUAGCUAGUUUAAGCUUGAUAAUAAUUUGUUUAAGAUUAUAACAUCAGCUUGUGUUUGAUUGUUAAUGAUUUUACAGGAGUAAGUUUCUAAUAUGAGAUUAUUAUUUUAUUUUUAAAUCUGAGCAAAGAGGGUUCCGAGUUUCAUAGUUUCAUAGAGGAGAGUAACGAGAAACCUUCGCAACCUUGCGAUGAGAAACUGGUGUAACUGCUUCAGAGGCAACAGAAACAACGGUUCAGUUGGCGAUCUGGACAAACACUGUACCUCAGAGCAAGAUUAGCGCUAGUAUAAGAGUUUGGUGGCUUGUGGGAGUGUGAUUGAGAGGAAUUUGUUGGCACACGUACAGCAGAUAUUAUUUCGGGAGAAGAAGACAUGCAAGAGAAAAGAUGAUGUUAAUAGAUUCUACUGCAAAAUGUACACUAUCAAUGUAAUCAUAAGUUGAGAUGCAGAUAAAGGUCAGUUUUAGAAGAAAUAUUUAUUAAUGUCUUCUGAAAAAGAAGAGCAAUGUGCGUUAUUGCGCAUAGACGUUAGUUCAAAUCUUACAUAGACUAUAAUUAUUGUAAUGAUUUAUCAAAUUUUCAAAAGUAGGGAAGAAAUAUCAACAUUAAAACUAGGUAGAAAUGUAUAAUGAAGUAUUUGCAUUUCAGUUGCCCUAGCCCCUAACCUGACAGCGCUUUCAUCUACCACGGUUGCCUACUGCUAUUAAUUGCAUCCUUUGACCGCUAUUAGUUGCGAUAUUUGUAGUAGUGACGUGCUAGGUUUGUGAUAGUGCUAGGGAGCUAUAC